AUACGGAGGGUGCGAGCGUUAAUCGGAAUUACUGGGCGUAAAGCGUACGUAGGCGGUUUGCUAAGUCAGAUGUGAAAGCCCCGGGCUUAACCUGGGAACUGCAUUUGAUACUGGCAGACUAGAGUAUGAUAGAGGGGGGUAGAAUUCCUGGUGUAUCGGUGAAAUGCGUAGAUAUCAGGAGGAAUACCAGUGGCGAAGGCGGCCCCCUGGAUCAAUACUGACGCUGAGGUACGAAAGCGUGGGGAGCGAACAGGAUUAGAUACCCUAGUAGUCC
rnacentral:rRNA from 1 species